GCGCCCAUAGCUCAACUGGACAGAGUCACGGACUACGAAUCCGGAGGUUGGAGGUUCGAGCCCUCCUGGGCGCGCCA
rnacentral:tRNA from 1 species